rnacentral:rRNA from 1 species
GCGCAGCAGUCGAGAAUCCUUCGCAAUGCGGGAAACCGCGACGAGGGGACUCCCAGUGCCUACGCUCAGCGUAGGCUGUUCCCGAGCCUAGAAAGCUCGGGGAGUAAGGGCUGGGUAAGACGGGUGCCAGCCGCCGCGGUAAUACCCGCAGCCCGAGUGGUGGCCACUAUUAUUGGGCCUAAAGCGUCCGUAGCCGGCCCGGUAAAUGCCUGGGUAAAUCGUGAGGCCUAACCUCACGAAUUCCGGGUAGACUGCCGGGCUAGGGACCGGAGGAGGGAGAGGGUACUCCAGGGGUAGGGGUGAAAUCCUGUAAUCCCUGGAGGACCACCGGUGGCGAAGGCGCUCUCCUAGGACGGGUCCGACGGUGAGGGACGAAAGCCAGGGGAGCGAACCGGAUUAGAUACCCGCGUAGU